CCUACGGGGGGCAGCAGUGAGGAAUAUUGGUCAAUGGCCGUAAGGCUGAACCAGCAAAGUAGCGUGAGGGAAGACUGCCCUCUGGGUUGUAAACCCCUUUUAUGCGGGGAUAAAGGUGUCCACGUGUGGAUGUUUGCAGGUACCGCAUGAAUCAGGACCGGCUAAUUCCGUGCCAGCAGCCGCGGUAAUACGGAAGGUCCGGGCGUUAUCCGGAUUGAUUGGGUUUAAAGGGAGCGUAGGCCGGUCUUUAAGCGUGCCGUGAAAUUUUGUGGCUCAACCAUGAGAGUGCGGCGCGAACUGGAUACCUUGAGUGCGCGGAAGGCGGGCGGAAUUCGUGGUGUAGCGGUGAAAUGCUUAGAUAUCACGAAGAACUCCGAUGGCGAAGGCAGCUCACUGGACUGCAACUGACACUGAUGCUCGAAAGUGUGGGUAUCAAACAGGAUUAGAUACCCGGGUAGUC
rnacentral:rRNA from 1 species